rnacentral:rRNA from 1 species
GAUGAACGCUGGCGGCGUGCCUAAUACAUGCAAGUCGAGCGAACGGACGAGAAGCUUGCGUCUCUGAUGUUAGCGGCGGACGGGUGAGUAACACGUGGAUAACCUACCUAUAUGACUGGGAUAACUUCGGAAAACCGGAGCUAAUACCGGAUAAUAUUUUGAACCGCAGGGUUCAAAAGUGAAAGACGGUCUUGCUGUCUCUUAUAGAUGGAUCCGCGCUUCAUUAGCGGGUUGGUAAUGUAACGGCUUACCAAGGGAACGAUGCGUAGCCGAGCUGAGGGGGGGUUGGCGCCACUGGAAAGUGACACACGGCCCAGACACUGAGGGGAGGCACAAGCAGGGACUGUUGCGAAAGGGGGGAAAUCCUGCCGGGCAACGCCGCGUGAGUGAUGAAGGUCUUCGGAUCGUAAAACUCUGUUAUUAGGGAAGAACAUCUGUGUAAGUAAAUGUGGACAUCUUGACGGUACCUAAUCAGAAAGCCACGGCUAACUACGUG